AUUGAACGCUGGCGGCAUGCCUUACACAUGCAAGUCGAACGGCAGCGGACCUUCGGGUGCCGGCGAGUGGCGAACGGGUGAGUAAAGUAUCGGAACGUACCUUUCAGUGGGGGAUAACUGUCCGAAAGGACAGCUAAUACCGCAUAUUCUGUGAGCAGGAAAGCAGGGGAUCGCAAGACCUUGCGCUGAUUGAGCGGCCGAUAUCAGAUUAGCUAGUUGGUGAGGUAAAGGCUCACCAAGGCGACGAUCUGUAGCGGGUCUGAGAGGAUGAUCCGCCACACUGGAACUGAGACACGGUCCAGACUCCUACGGGAGGCAGCAGUGGGGAAUUUUGGACAAUGGGCGCAAGCCUGAUCCAGCCAUGCCGCGUGAGUGAAGAAGGCCUGG
rnacentral:rRNA from 1 species